rnacentral:rRNA from 1 species
UACGUAGGGUGCGAGCGUUAAUCGGAAUUACUGGGCGUAAAGCGUGCGCAGGCGGUUUGUUAAGACAGAUGUGAAAUCCCCGGGCUUAACCUGGGAACUGCAUUUGUGACUGGCAAGCUAGAGUAUGGCAGAGGGGGGUAGAAUUCCACGUGUAGCAGUGAAAUGCGUAGAGAUGUGGAGGAAUACCGAUGGCGAAGGCAGCCCCCUGGGCCAAUACUGACGCUCAUGCACGAAAGCGUGGGGAGCAACAGG